AAUCCAACAAAUGGCAUCUUUCACUUCUUUUCCUUUCAAAUUGUUCCUUAAGUGUAUGUAUCUGCACACUUCCAUACUUCAACUUCAUUAUUCAGAUUUUUGCAUGUGUUGAAACCCUUUUUAAAACACCAAAAACAUCCAUCCCACUUGCUCCAUAUGCAUGCAAUCCAUUUUGGCCCAAAAUUGCUCCAAAUUGCACCAAAAUGCACUUUCUUUCCAACUUUGCUAUUAGGACCUAUAAACACACAAAAAUAGCUUAAAACACUCUUAUAAGCAAUAACUAACUAAGUAAAUGCAAGAAAACAUGUUAACUAAGUCGCAUAAAUAUGCUCCUAUCAAUCCAUAAAAAAAUGUUUGCAUACAAAUACAAAAACUCACAAUACCUAUAAACUACAUACAACACAAUUUAAAUGAAUGGAAAUUAAAUAAGUUCGUUAAGAAAAAUUGUAUCUCCGAGACAAACGACAAUCCCAACGGCUAGAAAUUCCAGUAGAGGAAGGCAGCUGUUGCAAUU
rnacentral:lncRNA from 1 species